CGAGGAAUAUUGGACAAUGGAUGGAAAUCUGAUCCAGCCAUGCCGCGUGCAGGAAGACGGCCCUAUGGGUUGUAAACUGCUUUUGUAUGGGAGCAAUAAGGACUACGUGUAGUUUGAUGAGAGUACCAUACGAAUAAGCAUCGGCUAACUCCGUGCCAGCAGCCGCGGUCAUACGGAGGAUGCGAGCGUUAUCCGGAUUUAUUGGGUUUAAAGGGUGCGUAGGCGGCGAUAUAAGUCAGUGGUGAAAUCUUACAGCUUAACUGUGAAACUGCCUUUGAUACUGCAAGCCUAGAGUAUGGAAGAGAGUGAUGGAAUAUCUGGUGUAGCAGUGAAAUGCGUAGAUAUCAGAUAGAACACCAAUGGCGAAGGCAGUCACUUGGUCCAUUACUGACGCUAAAGCACGAAAGCGUGGGUAGCAAACA
rnacentral:rRNA from 1 species